GAGGUUUGUGGGUUUUCUUAUUUAGUAGCUUUUGGAAAAGCAAUAGAGUUAAAGUUUGGUUUUUCCUUUCCAAAAAUUUUGAAACAUUGUCGUAUUUCUCUCUCUACCGAUCAGUUCUACAACUAACAAUAUCAACUAAUACACUAUCAGCACCAAACCCAUAAAGACUUGAUUUUCUAUCAGUGAUCGACAACUCCCUUUUGUGGUAAUCUGAUGAUUUGUUGAAUUCUAUUGCAAAAUGUCGGUGGAAAGGUCGUUCGAAGCAUGGGAGGAAGUGCAGCGGCAUGGCCAGGACCUUGCGGACCGGCUGGGGCAGGGGUUUACGGGGCUUAUUCAAUCCCCUAUUACAAACACGCCAGCUUUUACUUGGCCUAACCGUCAGAAAGCGAAGCUUUUCGAUUUGGAAUUCCGAGGCCAAAAUUUCAAUGGAAGGGAUUUGGGAGUUUUAACCGAUUAUAGUGGGAUAAAUGGGGUUUCUGCGAUUUUCGAUAUUGGAAACAGAAUUUGCCAAGCUGGUGCAGAUUUUGGGGCGUGCUUGAAUGGGUUAGUGCAGCAGUUCUUUAGGAGGUUGCCGGUGCCGUUUAGGCAGGAGGAGGCUGUUGGGAUGGACGUGAGGAUGGAUGGUAAAAGGAGUAAUUUUGGGGUGGGUGUGGAGGGCGAGUUGGAGUUGGAGUUGUUGAGUGAGAGGUUGAGGGAUUAUGGGUUUGUAGAGAAUGAUGCGACGGGCGGUAAGCUUGGUGGUUCAUCAGACGAAGAAAUAGGUGGGUUUAAUUUGAAAUCCGUGGGGUAUCUUGGUAAAUCACAGGGGGUCAUAAAUAUCACAUCAACUUAUGACAGUAGAACUAACAACAUAGAGAGUUCUUUGGUUGCAAGAGGAGAUUUAUGGAGAGUUGAGACAUCACAUGGCAG
rnacentral:misc_RNA from 1 species